UACGAAGGGGGCUAGCGUUGUUCGGAAUUACUGGGCGUAAAGCGCACGUAGGCGGAUAUUUAAGUCAGGGGUGAAAUCCCAGAGCUCAACUCUGGAGCUGCCUUUGAUACUGGGUAUCUUGAGUAUGGAAGAGGUGAGUGGAAUUCCGAGUGUAGAGGUGAAAUUCGUAGAUAUUCGGAGGAACACCAGUGGCGAAGGCGGCUCACUGGUCCAUUACUGACGCUGAGGUGCGAAAGCGUGGAGAGCAAACAGG
rnacentral:rRNA from 1 species